AUGAGGGCUGAAAUCAAUGUUGCUCACCAAGUUGACUCAAGGGAAUCAUCUAAAAGCCUGGAUGAGGACAUGUUAUUAACCUUUCUCCAAUUCUCCGGGAUGUCAUAUUUGUGUUGCUUUGCCAGUUCCAUUUUACUCCCUUGUGUCGAGGAUUACAGGCGAAAUUCACCUGGUUUUUACCCAGAAGGCUUUCAACGGCUUCCACCGAGUUGUGGAAUCAGACUUCAGCCUGUUUCCUUCAGAGUAACAGCACCCAGUGGUGAGGACGAGCAAACAAAGCAUAUCUUCCAGGUAUUCCUCUUCAGCCACCGGGAGCAUGUUUCCGCGAUGAGACCCCGCUCCCGACCGGUUUCGACCCCAGCCAGUCCAGAAGGCAGAGGAGGACCGUCCGGAUGGAGCACGGGGUCCGCAGGUUCUAUGGACGUUGCGGAAGCUCCUGGUGCCUUUCCUGAUCUUCCCAGAACCCCGCGGCUUGUGGCCGACGAAUUCUGAGCAAUCCCCGGCUUGUGGCCUGCGAACCAGCUGAGGGAGGAAGCAGUGGUCAGGACUACAGUGCCAUGGUUACGGAGGGAGUCCUGCCCCACACAAACCAACCUGUCAGUUGACCUGAUUAACAGAGGAUUGUCCUUCACUCAUGAACUAAUAUAAGAGGAGGGAAGAGCAGGCUAAAAGGCAUCUUUGACUAAUGCACUAAAGUAAGAUGGGGCACUGUAAAGUUAAGAGACCAGAACAGUUAAUGAUGCCCAGACCACACCACUUCUGACCAGGACCUGGCUGCUUUCAGACACCAUCUGUGUGUGUGGGUGGAUUCUGUACCUGUGUGUGUGUGUGUGUGUAUGUGUGGGUAGAUACUGUACGUGUGUGUGUGUGUGCGUGCAAGCACUCGUGCGUGGGUGCAGGUGUCUGCAAGGAAGCCUAAACGAGAGUUAAUAAGGAAACGGAAGACUCUCUUAUUGUGAAGGAGGUUUAUUGAGAUAGGAUGAUCCCUAAUGUUCCGGAAGGUUCCUGCUUUUUCUAUGAUUUAAUAUAUUCAUUAAGCUCUCCUCCGUCCACCCCUCUUGCUCUCCUCCCUUUUCUCUCUCUCUUUAUUCUAUCUAUUUGCCCAACCCCAGUCUUUCAGUAUCUAGUAAACAGCAGGAAGACAGUGUUUUGGCAGAGGGAGCACGCCAUUAGAGUCAGCCUGACUUCAUCCCACCUGGUAAAGUGCUCUAGUUCUGACCAGGGCACAAAUUCUCCCCACAGGGCCUUGGGCUAAAGUAGUGUACUAUGGAGUGCACAUGGCUCUGGUCUAAAGCCGUGAACCGUAUAGGGAAUUGGCAGACUGAGGAGGAUUUCAUCUUGGUUUUUGGCCUUCCUCACACACCCUGUUCUUUCUACCCUCAUUUAUAUAAUGACCUGCACUGAGAGACACACACACAAAAACACUCUCACACACCUAUACGCACGGACACACACGCUCACAAACACACACAGGCCGACACACACACAAACACAAUCUCACACACACCCCACAGACUAAAAGGCAAUUUGAUUUGGCCAGGAUGAUGGGUAAUAACAGUAACAACCAACUGGAAGAGAGAAAGUCAUCCGAGGCAGAAAGAACACACCGAAUAUUACCUGACCCUUGGUCAGAGUGUGUGUGUGUGUGUGUGCGUGUGUGUGUGUGUGUGUGUGUGUGUGUGUGUGUGUACCGCGAGCUGUAGAUUAAUUUUCUACCUCCUAAUUGAACAUCAGUUGAGCCUAGAGCCUAGUAGUAAUCAUCUGUGUGGCUGCAGCAUUGGCCACAGAGAACAUUCACAGGUUCCCCACUUCACUCCCAAAUGGCACCCUAUUCUUCGUGUGGUAAACUACUUCUGACCAGGUCCAUAGGCGCCACGCAGGGGACGGGGGGGCGGUUGGGGAUCUCACUUCUGAACGCUGUUAUAUUGUCUGAUGAGGAUGAAGAAAUCCUAGCAGCGUAAAGGCUUGGCUGAGGCUGAAACCUCUCUCUCCCGACAACUAGAGCUAGUGCUAAGAUAAUGUCUGUGUGUGUGUGUGUGUGUGUGUGUCUGUGUGUGUGUGUGUCUGUGUCUGUGUGUGUGUGUCUGUGUGUGUGUGUGUGUGUUUGUAGGUAUGGCUCGUCACAUUUUUUUAAUUGGCAACGUUUUUCUGCUGAUGUGUGGGACUUUGUGACAUCUUGGGGAAGCUCUGUUUUGGGUUUUCUGAGAGAGAGAGAGAGAGAGAGAGAGACAGAGAGGGAGAGAGAGACAGAGAGUGAUAUACAGAAAGUGAGAUAGAGAGUCAUUCAAAGAGUAAAUGCUCUCUGCUUCAGUCUGAGCUCUGCCAGGCUUGAUGGCUCCUGGUUAAUAUUUGAGAGACAUUUCCCCCCAUGCUAACCACACAAGUCAUUCUGGAGAGACACAUAAUUCACCCACAGAGCCCAGAAAAAACAGAGCUGUUCUUCAACAGAGAAGACUAGCACUGGACCGUCCGCAAUGGCCCACUACUCCAUUUAUAGUGCACUACAAUGCCCUGGUCUAAAAUAGUGCCCUGCAAUAUAGGGAACAGGGGGGCAUUUGGCCCUCCAUCCCAAGGCCUGAGUAGAGGGGUCAUAAAACCCUGGUUGAAAUUGCUCAAGUUGGGGAACUGUAAAGUUCAGACACAUACAGACACACAUAUACAGACACACACACAAAGACACACACACACACACACACACACACACACACACAGACACACACACCGUGGAGUUAUGUGUUUGGGGUCAGACUACAAAUGUGGUUCGUUCAUCCUGUGCAGAAAGCUGAGGUUGGCUGAAACAAUAGUUUUAUAUACAGCAGCUGGCUAGGCCUGACUCCUCUGGCGUGACUCUAGCAUCUAGUUCAAUUAGCAUUUUAAUCAAGUCUGACCAUGUAGCAAUUCCAGGUUGAUACAACAAACAUGAAUCACAUUUUUUAAAUGGAUCCACUAAAGCUGGACCGGGCCAAGGAUACACCGCACUGAAUCCCAAAUGAGUAUUUCCGAUUUGCCUAUUCCCAGUCGGGCACUGGUGAAAAGAGGUGCACUCUGGGAGAUGGCAUUACUUCCUACUUGAUUGAGGAGUGAGAUGAGUCAAGGUCAUAAUCACGAAUUGAACAUUUCCAAAUUGGGGGAAGAACAUUUUAAAAGACAUGAAUAAAUUAUGACUAGUCAUUAUUUGUAAUAUUAAUAUAUACCACUGUUCCUGGGUAUUUAGUCCUCUGCAACAGCACAUGCAACUAGACCACGUGCCACUGAACCUUAACAUCAGGGAUCUAAAUGGCUGAACUUGAACCAGAAGAAAAUCAGAACUCGCAAAUGAACUUACAUGUCAGGUUAGGAGGCUCUGGGUGAAGUUUGGAAAUGCCUCUCUUGCUAUCACUGACAUCAGUUGGGAGUAAUCAAACAUGCUAUGAAAAGUGACUUCUGGUAGUAGCCUCUGUCAAAGCCCUCUGUUAGGAAUGCUAUUCAGUGUGUCUUAGACAACUAUACUAAUUAAAAUAUGUAUUACAUUUAGAACAAGAAACGCUGUCAUGUAGUGUAGACAAGGUAAGAAUGUUAGUAUGUAACGACAAUACAUGUAUUUAUUUUCUACGGUAUGACAGGUGGAUAGACAAGCGGUUACUGACCCAUGAAGAUGAUUGCAUGGAAGCAGCUGUUAGACGUCUCUCUCUCUGCUCUGUCUUGCGAAGGCUUCGCCCUCCGACCUCCAGAGACUGGCCCGCCUGCCAGUAAACUGAAAUUCUACGAGGGGGUGGAGGGCUGAAUGUGAAUUUAGACAUGCCAGGAAUUGUUUUCGGAUCUGUUGUAGUGUUAUAAUGCCCGCAACUUUGCUCUGGAUUCAUCUCGGGAACGUGUGUUUCCACGCUGGACAAUAUGCUGAUUUUUAGGAGAAGUCUCAAUUUCUCUACCCAGUUGCGCAUUUACAUUUAAAUGAACACUGUUCCAUUGUUGCCAUAACAGAUACACGUAGGUGUGCUUUUGCUGUGGUUACUGUAUGAUUGUGGGGAUUCAAUGUAUAUUCCAAGUUGGUAUUUUGGAAUCCGGAAUGGCUUGGUGGAUUCUUAUUAUUAUUGGAACACAAUGGCAGCCUAACUUCAUAUAGAAUGUAUGUUUGUGUGUAUCAGUUCCAAAGCAAUAACUAUUUUACUGUUAAGUGAUGGUUAACUCUAAAUUGGUGACCGAUUACUGCUUGAGUAUGCAGUUUUUUAUGUGCGAAAGACGGCAUUAAAUCAUCCAUUUAACUCCAAUGCGUGGAUGAUUCCUAUUUGCUCAAACGCUCACGCGUCCUCCGUUACUAGGGAACGAUUUCGAUAUACAGUGUGGGUAUUGAAGUGUACCUAGCUUCCCAUUCACCGCUAAUGGCCUCGUAUAAAACUACACAUCCCAUGAUGCUGGUCAUUUAGGAAGCUUCCGCCCCCUUCUUAUCACAUGACUUUCGAUAGUCGGACUUGGUAGACAAAACUAUAGACGCUACUGUAAAUUUGGGUUUAUUGCAGAAACGUAUCAGUAU
ensembl:lncRNA